rnacentral:rRNA from 1 species
UAGGGAAUCUUCGGCAAUGGACGAAAGUCUGACCGAGCAACGCCGCGUGAGUGAAGAAGGUUUUCGGAUCGUAAAACUCUGUUGUUAGAGAAGAACAAGGACGUUAGUAACUGAACGUCCCCUGACGGUAUCUAACCAGAAAGCCACGGCUAACUACGUGCCAGCAGCCGCGGUAAUACGUAGGUGGCAAGCGUUGUCCGGAUUUAUUGGGCGUAAAGCGAGCGCAGGCGGUUUCUUAAGUCUGAUGUGAAAGCCCCCGGCUCAACCGGGGAGGGUCAUUGGAAACUGGGGUACUUGGGUGCAGAAGAGGAGAGUGGAAUUCCAUGUGUAGCGGUGAAAUGCGUAGAUAUAUGGAGGAACACCAGUGGCGAAGGCGGCUCUCUGGUCUGUAACUGACGCUGAGGCUCGAAAGCGUGGGGAGCAAACAGG